rnacentral:rRNA from 1 species
UACGUAGGGGGCAAGCGUUGUUCGGAAUUACUGGGCGUAAAGGGCUCGUAGGCGGCCAACUAAGUCAGACGUGAAAUCCCUCGGCUUAACCGAGGAACUGCCAUCCAGACUGCUUGGCUUGAGACCGGGAGAGGUGAGUGGAAUUCCUGGUGUAGCGGUGAAAUGCGCAGAUAUCAGGAGGAACACCAAUGGCGAAGGCAGCUCACUGGGACGGUAUUGACGCUGAGACGCGAAAGCGUGGGGAGCAAACAGG